GGUUGUGCCGCAGAGUGCCUUGCUGAGCAUACGAAUGCCCAGCUUGAACUUGUCUUUCCUUUUUCCAGCUACGGAAUGAGGCCCCCUUUCCCUGGUUCGGAAGUGGCUGGCGAGGAUUCUGCAGACCUUUGCCCUUCUGUCGGCAGGAAGGAGAUCUGGCUUCGCUCUCCCAUCCUUAUCCCGUUUAAUUUGCCAUCACAGCCAGCAGCAGUCAGAACAGGGCCCCACCCGGUGUGUAUUUAGAAGCACCUUCUUCCAGGACUGCAUCGGCCCCCAUUAACAUAUCAGUCGGAUCCCUGCUCCCCACACAGUUAGGAAAUAAAAUUCGGAGGAAGAAGGAUGUUAAAGUCGCUUCUGAUCACAUCAAAGUGCAGCGGACUCUCAGUAUGGGAGACGACUAGGAGGAGGAGCCUGGGCUAAAGCCUCAUUGGAGCCUCACAGAUACGGACUGAAGUCGCAGCAGCCACAGGUCUGGGCCAGAGGAGAGUCGGGUGAUCAGACCCCAGACAGAACCAAAGUCCCGUGUGGGACAAGUCCCAAGAGAAUCAGAGACCUGCCAGGAGCAGGAAGCAAGAGACUGCAGCA